rnacentral:lncRNA from 1 species
CAGUAUAGAUUCAUGUUUAUAAACUAUCCUAUGCUUUAUUCUCAAUCUUGCUCUGCUAAACAGUGGCAGUGAUACGAUCAGAGAAAUGGAAAGCAAGACUAACAUUUAGCUGAGGUGAAGAAUAUCUCUACAUAAAGGAAAAAUGAGAAGGAUUCUCUUUACCAACAGAGUGGAGGAAGAAGAGAAGAUGGCAGUGUAGGAGGACGCUGGGCUCACCGCGUCCUGCUGAUCACUUAGAUUCCACCUACACCUGCCUAAAUAACCCGGAAAACCGCCAGAAGACUAACAGAACGGAGUCUCUGGAGCCAAGCGCAGACGAGAGGCCCACGGAAGAGGGUAGGAAGGGCGGAGAGGCUGUGUGCGCUCCACGGACUGGCGGGAGGGAGCUGGCGCGGAGGGGCGACCCGCCGGCCAAGCAGAGCCCCCGAGUCUGGCUGGCAAAAGUGGAGGGGCCAGACGGAGUGUGUUCUGAAAGCAAGCAGGACUUAACAUCCGGAAGGUUAUAAGUUAACAGCUCUUCUCAAAGAACGGGAGGGCUGGAGGACAACGGAGGGAGAGUUGUUGAGCCCCGGACGACAGAGCUCAGAUUGGUGGGGAACAAAGACGCUGGCCAGAGCCAUCUCCCUCACCCAUCCCCCAGCCAAAUUCCCAAAGGGAACCAGUUCCUGCCAGGGAACUUGCGCACAAACACCCAACGCUGUACUUCUGCGGAUCCAGCCCUCCAGCGGGUCUGACACCCUCCUGGUGCUGAGGGCCCCUCCCAAAGUGGGUCUCCAAGGAAAAGCGAGCUGAGCCUGCCCCUCCCGCCCCUGUGCACCAUGCCAAUCCACCCCAGCUAAUAUGCCAGAUCCCCAGCACCACAAGCCUGGCAGUGUGCAAGUAGCCCAGACGGGCCAUGCCACCCCACAGUGAAUCCCGCCCCUAGGAGGGGGAAGAGAAGGCACACACCAGUCUGACUGUGGCCCCAGUGGUGGGCUGGGGGCAGACAUCAGGUCUGACUGAAGCCCCACCCACUGACUCAAGUUACUCAAGACAGCACAGGGGAAGUGCCCUGCAGUUCUGCAC